GUGACUGCGUACCUUUUGUAUAAUGGGUCAGCGACUUAUAUUCUGUAGCAAGGUUAACCGAAUAGGGGAGCCGCAGGGAAACCGAGUCUUAACCGGGCGUUAAGUUGCAGGGUAUAGACCCGAAACCCGGUGAUCUAGCCAUGGGCAGGUUGAAGGUUGGGUAACACUAACUGGAGGACCGAACCGACUAAUGUUGAAAAAUUAGCGGAUGACCUGUGGCU
rnacentral:rRNA from 1 species